UACGUAGGGGCCGAGCGUUGCCCGGAGUUAUUGGGCGUAAAGCGCGCGCAGGCGGCUUGACGCGCCCGACGUGAAAGCCCCCGGCUUAACCGGGGAGGGUCGUCGGGUACGGUCAGGCUUGAGGGCGGGAGAGGGUGGUGGAAUUCCCGGUGUAGUGGUGAAAUGCGUAGAUAUCGGGAGGAACACCAGUGGCGAAGGCGGCUUUCUGGUCUGCUCUUGACGCUGAGGCGCGAAAGCUAGGGUAGCAAACGGG
rnacentral:rRNA from 1 species